AUUUUUGACAAGUUGUGUUUCAAAGGCAUGUGUUCAUUUCAUUUAAAUUAUUCAACCUACUUGCAUAAAGUUGUUUAGAACAUGCAUUUACUGUAUGUUUAAUAACAAGAGGUUAUGUAGUAAUCUCCCCAUUUUCACCUGAUAUUAGCAAUUUGUUUUUGUUUUGUUUUUGCUUUAUGGCUCAUUUUAUUCCCUUUAAAACCAACUUUUAAAACAUGACUAUCUCUGCCAAACAAGGAAUAAAAAUGAGGGGGGAGGAGGGGGGAGGAGGAGGAGGAGGAAACAUAAAAGCAAAAUACAGAACCAAGGAAAUGGAAACAUUUUACAGCUAUGAGCAGUUUGCCUCUGGGACUCCCCUGGGCUCUGGCCCAGUGUGAGGUGCCAACCUCAGGCCAACCCAAUCUUCCUGGGCAGAGCACUUCAGGCUGGGGCCUUUCAGGAUUAUUUCUGAAGGUUGUAGCACUGCCCAGAAUGGACAAUGACCACAAGUCAGAAAUCCAAUUCACCACACUGUUUUAGGCACACUGAUUACCAGAUGUCUGUUUAGAAGAAAUCAAGAGAGUGGAGGAAGCAGGAAGAGAUACCCACACACUAAGUAUCUACUCUCAUCCUAGCUUCUCUGCCCAGAGAAACCAAGUGGGAGCAGCAGUGGGGGUGGGAGCAGAAGAGGUGGUAAGGGAGGAGUUGCAUGACAGUUUCUCACGGUGGACCACAGGAAACAGCUUAUCUUUCCCACCAGGCAAACUUCAGGAGGGAGAGGGUGUGUCCCCUAUAUCUUCCAAGCCCCUAUUACCUUAUGAUUCACCAGGAAAGAGGGCAGUCCAACUGGAGUGGCAUGGGAACACAGGGCCUCAGUCAUUGUCAGAAUCCACUGCAGAGAGCCCUUUUCAUUUCUGCUUGUUGGGUUUGGGUUUUGUGUCUUCUUUCUCCUAAGCACUGCAGGAGCCUAUCCUCCUCAGCCUUGGGAGGCUAACUGGCAUUCUUCCAACUUGGAGAGCUGAACAGAUCUGCCUUUCACUAGCUCUUGUGUGGCUUAGUGGAAGAGUCCUCCUAGUCCUUCCCCAGGGAGAAGAGGAUACUGAAGUUCACCUUGUGGUCUUUCUCACAGCUUUCCCGUGCAUUCUACAGUAAAGUAUUAAUUCUCGCUAACAAAGUUCUGCUUGGUGUUGGCCAGAUUGAGCUGCAGGUUGUCCAGGUGCUCCAGGAUCUGCUCCAGGGUCAGCUGGGCCAACCUGUUGCUGGAGCUCCUCAGGCUUUGCCUGUGAGGGAGGCUGUUUUUUGAUCAGCAGGAACUUGAUG
ensembl:lncRNA